UCGCCUAGGGGCGCAGCAGUGGGGAAUAUUGCACAAUGGGGGGAACCCUGAUGCAGCGACGCCGCGUGGGUGAAGAAGUCAUUCGUGACGUAAAGCCCUAUCAGCAGGGAAGAAAAUGACGGUACCUGACUAAGAAGCCCCGGCUAACUACGUGCCAGCAGCCGCGGUAAUACGUAGGGGGCAAGCGUUAUCCGGAUUUACUGGGUGUAAAGGGAGCGUAGACGGCAGCACAAGUCUGGAGUGAAAUCCCGGGGUUUAACCCCGGAACUGCUUUGGAAACUGUGCGGCUGGAGUGCAGGAGGGGA
rnacentral:rRNA from 1 species